rnacentral:lncRNA from 1 species
AUAAACGUGGGUGAAAACAACCGUGAUGAUAGGGUCCUUUGAAUAGAACUCCCUAUCAACCCUCGCAUACUCGUGACGCGGAACUCAGCACACGUAUGAUACACGUGGCGAAGUGCUGGAAGUUAGCAAAAGAACUAAUAGAUAGUAGCCACCUGAAAUAACCCCAAAAUUCCCCUAAGGCCUCUCGCACUAAGGUCAUCCUGUACGAUCGUACGAGAUUUUUCAAAUACGUUUCUUGCAAGUUUUACUUUUACAAAAGGUGUUUAGAACCUAUUGUCUUCUCUGUCCUGCUAACCUUCUCUGGUACCAGCUGUGGUGGAACUGCUCGGAUUAGCCUAGCUAAAGAACAAUA